CAGCAGCCGCGGGAAUACGGAGGGUGCAAGCGUUAAUCGGAAUUACUGGGCGUAAAGCGCACGCAGGCGGUCUGACAAGUCAGAUGUGAAAUCCCCGGGCUUAACCUGGGAACUGCAUUUGAAACUGUCAGGCUGGAGUCUUGUAGAGGGGGGUAGAAUUCCAGGUGUAGCGGUGAAAUGCGUAGAGAUCUGGAGGAAUACCGGUGGCGAAGGCGGCCCCCUGGACAAAGACUGACGCUCAGGUGCGAAAGCGUGGGGAGCAAACAGGAUUAGAUACCCGAGUAGUCCCUGUCUCUUAUAA
rnacentral:rRNA from 1 species